GACCGACGCAAACGGACGCGCGCGGACGCUAAAAUGCGUCGCGCCGCUGGAGAUGCCCUAAUAAACCGGUACGGAAGGAGUCCAUGAUUAUAGAAUUUUGAUAUCCAGAUUAGUGCUCAAUUGGAUACUAUUAUCAAUAAAACAGUAGCAUUUUGAAAUUAAAAUUUAAAGGCAAAUAGAUUCUAAAAUUUUGAAAUUGUAUGUACCAUGAUGUUUUUUUGGGAAAUCCGUAAGAUAACCCCAAGAACACACCCACUUCAUCGUUCCCCACUCUCAAGCUUCUCUCUUCACUGUCACUCACGGUGGCACGGCAAGCACAGACCUUCCAGGCCUCCCCGCCGCCAGCAAGAAUACCAUCCCCUCCCUUCGCUGGUGCGGCGAAGACCUCCUCAUCCCCUGCCUCUUGGCUUUUCCCAUGGAAAUCGCUCACUUCCCAACCUACCAACCGAUGCAUCGACGACCGCCCCUCCCCCUGCCACCCCGCCGACGGAGGUGGAGGCGUGGAACUCGUCUCCACUGGAACCUAGGCAUCUAUCACCGCGCGCGCCAUGGAGGGCUCCGCUGCUGCUUCCAGAGUGGAUGGUCGAUCCCCUCGCCACUUUGCCUGGAGAUAGAGGAGGCAAUCUUUCGGGCCAUGGCCCGAGUGGGCGCCGUUCUGGCCCGGGAACUCCUACUCUGUGCCAUCCCAGCCCGCUGGCGCCGACCUGAGCAUCCUCGAGGUCGGCGCGGAGGGAUUGGGGUGCUGCCAUCCCACGGGUUCGUCGGCAACAAGGAGCGACGCCGGUCCGCCCACGCUCCUGCAAUAAGGAGCGCCGCUGCGACCACCGAUGGGUACCCCUGCUCGGCAUACUUCGUCGACAGAGGCAAGCCAGAUGCUUUUGGGGCUAAAUCGAGCACGCCCUCUUGGGGCCAUUUCACUGCCCGGGGCCACAACACCUCUUGCAGAAGCGCACAACUUUACAAGUAAACUGCAUUUAUUAUAACUUGCAGUAUAGAUUGUGAACUGGUCGUGUAACCUGUGAAUAUCUUAUUCUUCGAAAACCAGCAGCCCCUGAACAAGUAUAACUCGCCGAUCCGCAGCUCGUCUUGAAAUGAUAUGUUUGAUUCCCAUAUGCUACCGCUUUCCAUUUUUCCCCUGUCAAAAUAGCAAGGUUUAGCUAUCCAAGCUGAAUGUCAUGUGUUCCUAUAUUGCUUAGUUUAUGCGAUCAAAUAUAAAAGAUAACAUCGAAGCAUUAUUUUUCCCAUCUCACAGAACUUUUAAAUGGUCCUCACAGACAGGUCGCUGAGUAAGCCACGGUAGAUCAUUUAUCCAUUUCUGGCAACGUUGCUAUAAUAAAAGAGAUAUAUGAGGAAAAUGAUUAUCCAUGAUUAGAAUUUUAGACAUAGCAACCAAACAUUAGUUCAAACUUCUUACAGUCAGCUUGAAGCCUAACUAUUAUUUAGUUGCUCAUGUCUUCAGCAGAACGUACACACAGACCUGAUAUAUCAAGCGAUUUGACUAAUUUUAGACAUGGGAACCAAGCAAUAGUUCCUACGUAGUGACUAAUUUAUUGAUGAUCGAAUCGCGGCGUCUGGGUGGUGCCGUAGCAGCGACAGGCGCGGACGAUCAUGUGAACAUGGCGUGUACCUGCAGUGUACCAGUGGAUUCGGGUGGCCAGGCGGCGCAGCGACACAUGUGUGGCAGUGUGGCCUGCUCCUGCUGGGCGAAGUAUAGGAUCUGGAUUUAGAGGUGCCUUGAUCGCAUUUGACUGCGGUUUUUCUUUCGAUAUGGAUUUGAAGCCGCGCGAUUGAAGGCGUGACGACUGCGGGGUGCGAGAAUUGUAUUGAGUCUUGCUGAUGAUGCUGAUCAUAGACUGACAGUUCGAACUUAAAUUUCAUUAUCCAUACUUAUUUUGUUCUUUUAGGAUUUUUAUAGCCGAUGGCUGUAUGGCUAGGUAGUUAUUUUAAAUUUUCCACAAAAUGAUCAUUUUACCUCCAUUUAAACGUUUGAACAAGUUCAUCUUUUAGUUGUAUACUGUGAAGUCAUGUAUUUCUUUUUUUUUUUUCGAGGGUGAUCAUGUAUUUCUUUCUGGACAUGGAUCUGUCAAGAAGAUUUAAGAAAACUCACCUGUGCAGUAGUAUAGGAUAGGUGCAUCACUCAUUUUUAAUGUUGGUUGAAUGGACUGUUAAAUGCCUUAAGCAUUUUGCAUUAACUAUAUAUUCCCCACCAACCUCCCAGCAUUGCCAGACCUUUUGUUUUUCCUAAUCUGAGGAUUUGAGUUAGAUACUAUUUGAGAAGGGGUAUACUUAUUCUGAAAAGGGAUGUUCGGUGCUGAUAAAGGAUUUUUCUCUCUCGGAGUACAUACACUCAAUGGCUUGUUUCAAGCAGAUAAGAUGUAUCCAUGCUUUGUUUAUUGAGGUUGUGUAUUGGCAAUGAGAUAGAUGCUAUUGGACAAGGGAUAUAAUUAGAUUUUUACCACUUGUGCAGGUUUGCUAGAUACAUCAUAACCUACAAAGAUUUGGUCAUGCCAUAACAUUGUGGCUGCAAUGCAGUCUCAAACUAUGGCUCUCCACUCCCCAUUACUUAGGAUGAUCUUAACCCAAGAAGAAAAUGGUUGGUCUGAUUGAUAUAUACAAUUCCACUCAUUUACUUGAAUGUGACUGUGCACUGGGCUCUUAGAUGCAGAAAGAAAAGGAGGACCAUGGGUGUAGGGAAUCCUUGCUGCUAUAUUAAGGUAUGGAAAGAGCUGAAGCAAAACAGCAAAUCAGAAAAGUUAUCAGAAAAGAAGAAGUUACAAGGGGGGAUUCCAGGCGAAGCGAGGGUACGACCUUGAUGCCAUUAUAUCCUCUUCGAGCAGACGCGUCCGAAGCUUAGUUGCAUUGGCAUAGUAGUCUGUAGGUUGAAGAUGGUAAAAUUCUGAAGCUUUUAUGAUUGCACCCAAGAAGCAAUUCGCGUCCUUCCAUAUAUGUGGAGAUUACUUCCAAAUAUGCCUCCAGCGUAAUUACUGGCCCGAUUACUCCCAAAUAUACCUGGAGCGUGAUUGCUUCCAAAUUAGAUACUGCUCCCGAUUACUGGAGCGUGAUUGCUCCCGAUUACUGUAUGUGGAGAUUAACUGCCUGAUAUGUGCUUCCAUAUAUGUCCUGCUUUGCCUGAUACUACUGGCCCAUUAUGGCCCAAGUUGGCGUGGUGGGAAUCCCAAA